GCUGCCAUGUUGGCAGCAGCUCUGUGGAAAGGCCCAUGUGGCAAGGAAUUGAGAAAUCUUGCCAACAGCCCAUGAGAAACUGAGGCCUCAAGUCCACAGCCAGGAAUCUUAAAUGCUUGUGUGCAGCCACCAUCCUGACAAAUGAUUCAACAAAUGAUUCAAAGAGAAAAACCAGAAUACAAUUAUUUUGAUAGACACGUAAAACUGAAAAUCAAAUAUCCACAGAUGAAACUUCACCUUCAAGGAAAAUCGCCAACAGUGGUAAAGAGCUGCACAACACUUGAAGUUUUCUCCUGCAGCUUUGAUUGAACAAGCACCAGUAGGAGGGACUAAAAAUAAAG
rnacentral:lncRNA from 1 species